rnacentral:rRNA from 1 species
GACGAACGCUGGCGGCGUGCUUAACACAUGCAAGUCGAACGGAAAGGCCCUGCUUUUGUGGGGUGCUCGAGUGGCGAACGGGUGAGUAACACGGGAGUAACCUGCCCUUUACUUGGGGAUAACUUCAGGAAACUGGGGCUAAUACCGGAUAGGAGCUCCUGCUGCAUGGUGGGGGUUGGAAAGUUUCGGCGGUUGGGGAUGGACUCGCGGCUUAUCAGCUUGUUGGUGGGGUAGUGGCUUACCAAGGCUUUGACGGGUAGCCGGCCUGAGAGGGUGACCGGCCACAUUGGGACUGAGAUACGGCCCAGACUCCUACGGGAGGCAGCAGUGGGGAAUAUUGCACAAUGGGCGGAAGCCUGAUGCAGCAACGCCGCGUGCGGGAUGACGGCCUUCGGGUUGUAAACCGCUUUCGCCUGUGACGAAGCGUGAGUGACGGUAAUGGGUAAAGAAGCACCGGCUAACUACGUG